rnacentral:rRNA from 1 species
UACGAAGGGGGGCUAGCGUUGCUCGGAAUCACUGGGCGUAAAGGGUGCGUAGGCGGGUCUUUAAGUCAGGGGUGAAAUCCUGGAGCUCAACUCCAGAACUGCCUUUGAUACUGAAGAUCUUGAGUUCGGGAGAGGUGAGUGGAACUGCGAGUGUAGAGGUGAAAUUCGUAGAUAUUCGCAAGAACACCAGUGGCGAAGGCGGACUCACUGGCCCGAUACUGACGCU